rnacentral:misc_RNA from 1 species
UCGAGCGUCAUUACAACCCUCAAGCACUGCUUGGUAUUGGGCUCCGCUGCUUAUCCAGCGGGCCUUAAAAUUAGUGGCGGUGUCAUUAGGCCCUGAGCGUAGUAAAUAUCCUCGCUAUAGGAACUUGGUGAUUACUGGCCAGCAACCCCCCACUUUCUAAGUUUGACCUCGGAUCAGGUAGGGAUACCCGCUGAACUUAA